CUACGGGUGGCUCCAGUGGGGAAUAUUGCACAAUGGGCGCAAGCCUGAUGCAGCCAUGCCGCGUGUAUGAAGAAGGCCUUCGGGUUGUAAAGUACUUUCAGCGGGGAGGAAGGGAGUAAAGUUAAUACCUUUGCUCAUUGACGUUACCCGCAGAAGAAGCACCGGCUAACUCCGUGCCAGCAGCCGCGGUAAUACGGGGGGUGCAAGCGUUAAUCGGAAUUACUGGGCGUAAAGCGCACGCAGGCGGUUUGUUAAGUCAGAUGUGAAUUCCCCGGGCUCAACCUGGGAACUGCAUCUGAUACUGGCAAGCUCGAGUCUCGUAGAGGGGGGUAGAAUUCCAGGUGUAGCGGUGAAAUGCGUAGAGAUCUGGAGGAAUACCGGUGGCGAAGGCGGCCCCCUGGACGAAGACUGACGCUCAGGUGCGAAAGCGUGGGGAGCAAACAGGAUUAGAUACCCGGGUAGUC
rnacentral:rRNA from 1 species